rnacentral:rRNA from 1 species
UGGGGAAUAUUGCACAAUGGGGGAAACCCUGAUGCAGCGACGCCGCGUGAGCGAAGAAGGUUUUCGAAUCGUAAAGCUCUGUCCUAUGGGAAGAUAAUGACGGUACCAUAGGAGGAAGCCCCGGCUAACUACGUGCCAGCAGCCGCGGUAAUACGUAGGGGGCAAGCGUUGUCCGGAAUCACUGGGCGUAAAGGGUUCGCAGGCGGAAAUGCAAGUCAGUUGUGAAAGGCAGAGGCUCAACCUCUGUAAGCAAUUGAAACUGUAUUUCUUGAGAUGUGGAGAGGCAAGUGGAAUUCCUAGUUUAGCGGUGAAAUGCGUAGAUAUUAGGAAGAAUACCGGUGGCGAAGGCGACUUGCUGGACACAAACUGACGCUGAGGAACGAAAGCGUGGGUAGCAAACAGG